rnacentral:rRNA from 1 species
AUCGAACGCUGGCGGCAUGCCUAACACAUGCAAGUCGAACGAGUGGCGGACUGGUGAUUAGUGUCUUGGCAACUGCCUGAUGGAGGGGUCUCACUACUGGCCCCGGUAGCUAAUACCGCAUACCCUCAGCUGUGCCCAGAUGGGAUUAGCUCGUAGGUGGGGUAAUGGCGCACCUAGGCGACGAUCCCUAGCUGGUCUGAGAGGAUGACCAGCCACACUGGAACUGAGACACGGCCCAGACUCCUACGGGAGGCAGCAGUGGGGAAUAUUGCACAAUGGGCGCAAGCCUGACGGAGCCAUGCCGCGUGUGUGAAGAAGGCCUUCGGGUUGUAAAGCACUUUCAGAGGGGAAGCGGUACUCGAAGAAGAAGCAACGGCUAACUACGUGCCAGCAGCCGCGGUAAUUC